GAAGAUUGUUCUAUUCUCCCAUUUUACAUGGUAUUAGAGCCGUGUGUCAUCUGUUUUUUUUUUUUGUCUUUUCAAAUCGGUGUUGCCAGCUAGCUCACAAAAUUAUCUGUAAGUGACUUGGUUGGUUACUUUUGAUACUGAGAGGUACUUGGAACUUGAUAUUUCAAUCUCACAACCAACCUAGGGUGGUCCACCUCUCCCGAUAUGUAAGAAUCAAAAUCUGGUGAUUGGCAAAGAAGAGUGUGAGGCGUAAGCUUCGGUGAACUAUUUCAGGCAGUUUUUGUAUACAAUUCACGUAAGGGCGUGUGUAAAAUCUAAAUCGAGCAUUUAUUUGUUUCUAGUACCAUCUAAAUAUUUGCAGGUCAGAUUUUGUUGUCUUUUUUUCAAUAGACCUCAGUUGGGUUAUUUUUCAAUUAUCGCAAAUUCCUUGAACUGUAUUUUUCUUCAAUAAAAUCAAUUGACAUGUAUUUGUUGAUUUUUGUGUUGGAUUGCUGCUAAAAUUUUGUUCUAAUUUUCCUCUCUCUAACUUGAUUUAUUUUUUACUCUAAGUGAACAAUCAGUUUGAUUGGAUCAACCAAACUCUAUUAACUCUUGCAAAAAUCUGGAAAUCUGUUGGGAUAUUUCUACUUCAUGGAAUUUUAUUGGUUUCACCUCUCAAUUUAUUUUUGUUAUAUUUAAUAUUUAAUUUGAACAAUGAAUGAUCAUAGUACGGUAACUCAAAGGUCUAAUGUCCUUGGAGCUUCUAGUUUUUUAUCUCACAAAAUGAAUUUGAUUUCGAUUGAGGAGUUAGCUAUAUUCUUUUUGAUAUCCAAAAACCACUUCAGUUAUUGCUUUUGCUAAGUCCUAUGAAGUAUGUCUUGCUACCGCUUCAAAUAAAUGGGUUGCUGAUUAGGUGCUACAAAUCACAUGACAUGUAAUCCUAAUAUCUUAUCAAGCUUUUGACCAUACAAAGUACUAUUUCUCUAUAGUGUAGAUGAUAGAUCAACUUGUAACAAUAUUGGAUCUUUAAAUGUUAAGCUAACCCCUCAAGUACCCUGCCGUUUGUGUUAAAUCUACCAAAAUUGUCAUUUCUUAAUCUUACAACGAAUCAGGUAUUUAGAAAAAGAUAUGUAUAUGAUGAUCUUUACAUCUUCGAUGACUGGGAGUAUCAACGUAUUGCCUGCUCCAGGGUUGUAAUUCCAUUUGAAGCAUAUUGUCGAUUGGGACAUCUUCCUUACCUUAGUUAAGGAAGCUUAGCACACAAUUUCAGGAUAUUUCUUUCUUGGACCGUGAGUCAUGUCGAUUUGCAAAACACCAUCGUAUCUUGUUAUUUCAAAGGAUGAAUAAUCGAGUUGCAUCACCUUUUGAGUUAGUCCAUUCUGAUGUCUGAGGACCAUGUCCAGUUGUUUCUGAAAUAGGGCAUAAAUAUUUUUUCACUUUUUUAGAUGAUUUUUUUUCGAAUGACUUUAAUUUACUUUAUGAAGAGUCGAUCUGAAGUGUUUACUUAUUUUCUGCAUUUUGUGCUGAAAUCAAAACUUAGUUCAAUGCCUCAGUCCGUAUUUUAAGGAGCGCAAAUACUAAAGAAUAUAUGUCAAAAACAGAUCCCACAUGACUCAACACGGUACUCUCCAUCAGAAUUCAUGUGUUAAUACACUAUAUCAACGUGGAGUUGCUGAGAGAAAGAGUAGACAUCCAUUUGAGACAACUCGGGCUCUUUUGUUCCAAAUGAAGGUUCCUAAACAAUUUUGGGUUGAUACGGUCCCUACUGCUUAUUUUUUUUAUAAAUUACAUGCCACCGACUAUGUUUGAUGGUAAUGUGACUUAUAAUGUUCACAUUCCAAAUAAGUCACUAUUUUUAGUAGAACCUAAGGUAUUUGGAAGCACAUGUCACGUUUGAGACGUUCAACCAUCAAUUACAAAGGUUGAACCCAAGGCAUUCAAGUAUGUUUUUAGGGUUAUUCUCGCCUUUGAAAAGGGAUAUCGAUGUUGUUCUACUAAGCUUGGUAGAUAUUUGGUAUCAAUUGAUGUGAUAUUUUUUGACACUACACCAUUCUUAUUUGAACCUCCUAUUUCUACAAGUCAGGGGGAGGAAGAAUAGUGGUUAGUCUACCAGGUUACUCGUGUUGUGGCUAAAAAAAUCAAGAAGACGUUGUUCUUACCUAUACCAAUCCUUCUGUUGGGCACUAAUCCACUAUUGUUCCAUCAGUUCCUGUUGUACAUGCUCUAUCAAGACCGCCUAUUGUUCAAGUUUACUUGAGCAGGUGGGAAAUCGAUGAUACAAUUCCUUUCUCAUCAGAUGUUACUCUUCUUAAUCCUCCAAAAUAUCAUGACCUCCAUAUUGCUCUUCGAAAAGGUAUAUGAUUGCCUCUCUAGACGCUAUAUCUAUUACCAAAAUACUGAAGGAUACCUUGAACCAUCCUGGAUGGCAUGAUGCAAUGCUUGAGGAAAUACAUGCUUCAUAUGAAACACUUCAUAUUUGGUAGAUUUAACCAAAGGAAAGAAAGCAAUUGGAUGCAAAUGGAUCCUUGCUGCCAAAUUUAAUCAUGAUAGCUCUUUUGCAAGACUUAAGGUCAGACUUGUGGCUAAAGCUAUGCCUAGACUAUGAUGUAGCUUAUUCUGAGACCUUCUUCGAAAUAUCUAAGCCCGCCUUUGUUCGCUUGUUUAUUUCUUUGGUUGCUUUUCAUCAUUGGCUCUUCAAUCAAUUGGAUAUCAAAAAUGCAUUUCUUCAUGGUGAUCUGAAUGAAGAAGUGAAUACAGAGCAACCACCUGGAUUUGUUUCUCAGGGGAAGUAUGAGAAGGUUUGUCAUAUGAGAAAAUCUUUCUAUGGUCUAAAGAAAAGUCCUCGUUCUUGGUUUGGAAAAUUUAGCGAUGUAGUUUAGGAAUUUUGAUUAAAGAAGAUCAAGUGUGAUCACUAUGUUUUCUACAGAUAGUCAACAAUUGGUAAUAUUGUUUUGGUUGUUUAUGUUGACGAUAUUGUUAUUACAAGAGUUGAUUGUACAGGAAUUUAUUUAUCUGA